AGAUACCCUAUUAUUUUAAUUGUAAAUAAUUUAUGUUUGGAUAUUAAUAGUUAUGAUCUUAAAAUCCAAAGAAUUUGGCGGCAUUUUACUCCAUUCAGAGGAACCUACCCCGUAAUUGAUAUUACACGAUUUGAAUUACUUGAUUUAUUUGUUUGUAUAUCUCCGUUAUCAUGAAAAUCUUUUUAGAGUUAAUAAUUUUCAUAAUUUUUAAUUAAGAAGGAUUUCAGGUCAAGGUGCAGCUAUAUAAUUAAGAGGAGGCGGGUUACAAUAAUUUAUUAUUUUACGGUAUUAUUAAUGUAAAUUUAAAGUUAAGUUGGAUUUGAUAGUAAUUUGUUU
rnacentral:rRNA from 1 species